rnacentral:rRNA from 1 species
GACGAACGCUGGCGGCGUGCUUAACACAUGCAAGUCGAACGGAAAGGCCCUGCUUUUGUGGGGUGCUCGAGUGGCGAACGGGUGAGUAACACGUGAGUAACCUGCCCUUGACUUUGGGAUAACUUCAGGAAACUGGGGCUAAUACCGGAUAGGAGCUCCUGCUGCAUGGUGGGGGUUGGAAAGUUUCGGCGGUUGGGGAUGGACUCGCGGCUUAUCAGCUUGUUGGUGGGGUAGUGGCUUACCAAGGCUUUGACGGGUAGCCGGCCUGAGAGGUUGACCGGCCACAUUGGUACUGAGAUACGGCCCAGACUCCUACGUGAGGCAGCAGUGGGGAAUAUUGCACAAUGGGCGGAAGCCUGAUGCAGCAACGCCGCGUGCGGGAUGACGGCCUUCGUGUUGUAAACCGCUUUCGCCUGUGACGAAGCGUGAGUGACGGUAAUGGGUAAAGAAGCACCGGCUAACUACGUG